rnacentral:tRNA from 1 species
UGCCCGGUAGUGUAAUUGGUAACACACGAGAAUUUGGGUCUCGCUUUUCUGGUUCGAGUCCAGACCGGGCAG